AGUGUGAGGCAUUGUUGGAAGUUAGACUUUUAAACAUCUAAAAUUAAGUUCUAAAGGACUGUCAAUAUUAGCAGCAGGAGUUGUGGUGUGGGUAUAAGUAGAUCAUAGUGCAAGCUUUGGAGCCAGAAAAAUCUGGUUUCUAAUCCUCCCUCUGCCACUCACUGCCUGGGUGACCUGAGCGUAUUACUACUAUGACAUAUCGUUUUUUGAGUUCCAUGGGUAGAACUUAAAGCAGGUUCUUUUCUCUCUAUAUAAGUGGAAUUUAUUCCGAGAAUCACAGCGGCAGAGUAUGGAUAAAAACACAAACAGACUUUUUGUGUGUGUGUGCGUGUGGUACGCGGGCCUCUCACUGCUGUGGCCUCUCCCGCUGCGGGACGCGCAGGCUCAGCGUCCAUGGCUCACGGGCCCAGCCGCUCCGCGGCAUGGUGGAUCUUCCCGGACCGGGGCACGAACCCGUGUCCCCCGCAUCGGCAGGCGGACUCUCAACCACUGUGCCACCAGGGAAGCCCCAAACAGACUUCUAAGGGCGUCUCAGCCUAGAAUCCUUCUGAGACCUGUUGGGAUACAGACUAGAGGAGGUGGAGAGAGCCUCUGGGAUGUGGAUGUGUUCAGAGCCUAGGAUCUGGAGCUAGAAGAGAGAAAAAACAGACAAAAAGCCUUAGGGAUCAGAGUUGUCUUUUAAGGGAGGUGCCAGGAAACUACCACAUAAUGCACUUCCAUCCCAUUGGCCAGAACUUCAUCCCAUGGUCAUGCCUGGCUGCAGCGGAGUCUGGGAAAUGUAGUCUCCUCCCUGCGUAGCCAUUACCAUGGAAGAGGGAAGAUCAGGUUUUGAUGGAUAGCCAACAGCCUCUGCCAGAGCAUUCAAUAUGCUCCUGUGUCUUACUUAGGCCGGUGUCCCCAUGGAAACAGAACCAAUUGUGAUAUUUUUCUCAUGGACGUAUAAACAUCUUAAAUAUUCUAUAAAUGUGUUUUCAUUUCACUGAUAUGUAGAAUAUUUUACCCUUAGUUUUUUUUUUUUUUUUUUUUUUUUUUUUUGCGGUACGUGGGCCUCUCACUGUUCUGGCCUCUCCCGUUGUUGAGCACAGGCUCCGGACGCGCAGGCUCAGUGGCCAUGGCUCACGGGCCCAGCUGCUCCGCGGCAUGUGGGAUCUUCCCGGACCGGGGCACGAACCCGUGUCCCCUGCAUCGGCAGGCGGACUCUCAACCACUGCGCCACCAGGGAAGCCCCUACCCUUAGUUUUUAAUCUAUAAAGCAUUUUGACAUUGCAAUUAAAGAGAUUAAGAUUUUGUUCAUAAUCAUUCAAUCUAAUAUUACCAUUCUUUUUUUUUUUUUUUUCCGGUACGCGGGCCUCUCACUGUUGUGGCCUCUCCUGUUGCGGCCUCUCCUGUUGCGGAGCACAGGCUCCGGACGCGCAGGCCCAGCAGCCAUGGCUCACGGGCCCACCCGCUCCGCGGCUUGUGGGAUCCUCUCGGACCGCGGCACGAACCCGCGUCCCCUGCAUCGGCAGGCGGACUCUCAACCACUGCACCACCAGGGAAGCCCACCAUUAUUUCUUUUUACAGUAGUGAAGUCUUAGAAUUUGGGGUAUGAUCUCAACAGCGCCUCACCUCACAGCCUCAACUGACAUACACUUAGUGCUAGUUUCUGCUUUGCCAUCACAAAUACCUGUACUGGUCAUCACCUCUAGAAUUCUGAGGGUCAGACUCAGUAAAAUAUAUGCCACAUCACAGUGACAACAAAUAUAUAAAAAUGAUCACACAUCUGAAAAUAUUCUUUCGUGUACUAAAAUGUGCUGUUGCAAAAACUCUUGGACUUUUUCUGUUUUUUACCAUCCAUUUAUGUUUUUCAACUGAAUUUUUAAAAGAUUUUUAUUUCGAGAUAGUUGUAGAUUCACAAGCAGUUGUAUGAAACAAUAGAGAUAUGCCCUAUAGUCUUCACCCAUUUUCUCCCAAAAGUAGCAUCUUGAAUAACUAUAGUAUAGUAUCACAAAAUGUGGAAAUUGACUUUAAUACAAUCCACAGUGCUUAUUCAGAUUUCACUGGCUUUACAUGUACCCAUUUGUAAGUGAGUGAGUGUGUGUGUAUGCAUGUGUAAUUCUAUGCAGUUUUAUCACAUGUAUAUGUGAUCACACCACUGUUAGGAUACAGGACAGUUCCGUCAACACAAGACUCCUUCGUGUUACCGUUUUUAGCCACAGUUACUUCUUUCCUUUCCUCUUCCCUAACUCCUGGCAACCACUUAUCUGAUCUCCAUAUUUGCCAUUUCAAGAAUAUUAUAUAAAUUGAACCAUGCAGUAUGUUAUCUUUUUUUUUCUUUUGGUAAACAGUCUGGGCCUAGGACCUCUGUUUAAGUCUUAGUCAUUCACCACAGAGAGAAGGACAAAGAACAGCUAAUCCUCCAGGCUCUAGAUAGCUUCUCUACCUCACAGAGAUGUUUACGAAAAUACAUAAAUCUGGGACUUCCUUGUGGUCCAGUGGUUAAGACUUCGCCUUCCAAUACAGGGGGUGGUGCAGGUUUGAUCCCUGGUCGGGGAGCUAAGAUCCCACAUGCCUUGCAGCCAAAAAACCAAAAUAUAGAACAGAAGCAAUAUUGUAACAAAUUCAAUAAUGGCUUUAAAAAUGGUCCACAUCAAAAAAAUCUUUAAAAAGAAAGAAAAUACAUAAAUCUCAUAUGCAUUAAUUUUUUUUAAUUGAAAUUUUUAUUGUGAUAAUUGUAUAUGUAACCUUUUGAGACUGACUCUUUUCACUCAGUAUAAUUCCUUUGAGAUACAUACAAGUUGUGUGUAUCAAUAGUUCAUUCCUUUUUAUUGCUGAGUAGUAUUCCAUGGUAUGAAUAUACUAUAGUUUGUUUAGCCAGUCACCCUUUGGAAGGACAUUUGGAUUGUUUUCAGUUUUUGGCUAAUAUAAAUAAAGCUGGUAUGAACAUUUGUGUACAGGUUUUUGUGAGAACAUAAGUUUCCUUUUCAGUGGGAUAAAUGUCCAAGAUUGUAAUUGCUAGGUAGUGUAAGAAGUGUAUGUUUACUUUUAUAAGAAAUUGCCAUACUCUUUUCCAGAGUGGCUGUAGCAUUUUACAUUCCUAUAAGCAAAGUAAGACCAGGUUCUUUGCAUUCUCUGAGUCCUCACCAGAAUUGGUAUUUCACUUUUUUUUUUUUUUAACUUUAGCUAAUCUCAUAUGUGUAGUGAUAUCUCAUUGAGAUAUAUUUAGAUUAACGUUUCCCUAAUGAGAAUCCCUCUCUCCCUACCCACGCUCCCUGACCCCAAUAUAUAUAUAUAUCUCCAAUAAGCACAUGAAGAGAAUAUGGUGUAUCUUCUUUGAAGAAAUGUCUAUUUAGUUCCUUUGCCCAUUUUUUUAAAAUUUUAUUUUAUUUUUACAUAACAGGUUCUUAUUAGUUAUCUAUUUUAUACAUAUUAGUGUAUAUAUGUCAAUCCCAAUCUCCCAGUUCAACACAGCCGCCCCCUGCCACUUUCCCCCCUCAGUGUCCAUACGUUUGUUCUCUACAUCUGUGUCUCUAUUUCUGCCCUGCACACUGGUUCAUCUGUACCAUUUUUUCUAGGUUCCACAUAUAUGCGUUAAUAUACGAUAUUUGUUUUUCUCUUUCUGACUUACUUCACUCUGUAUGACAGUCUCUAGGUCCAUCCACAUCUCUACAAAUGACCCAGUUUUGUUCCUUUUUAUGCCUUUGCCCAUUUUUAAAUUGAGUUAUUUAUCUUUUUAUUGUUGAGUUGUAAGAGUUCCUUAUAUAUUCUGGGUAUAAUUCUCUUAUCAGAUAUAUGAUUUGCAAAUAUUUUCUACCAUCCCUUGGGUUGUCUUUCUUUUCACUUUUUGAUGGUAUCACUUGUAACACGAAGGUUUUUAAUUUCAAUCAAGUCCAUUGGGAAAGUAUAUAUUUGUGUCUUGUGUACUUUUGUUGUUAUAUCUAAGAAUGCAUUGCUUGAGCCAAGUCACAAAUUUACGCCAAUGUUCUCGCUCUCUUUUUUUUUAAAAGUAAAUUUAUUUGUUUUUUUAUUUUUGGCUGCAUUGGGUCUUUGUUGCUGCGCGCGGGCUUUCUCUAGUUGCAGUGAGCAGGGCUACUCUUCGUUGUGGUGUGUGGUCUUCUCAUUGCAGUGGCUUCUCUUAUUGCAGAGCACGGGCUGUAUGUGCGUGGGCUUCAGUAGUUGUGGCAUGCAGGCUCAGUAGUUGUGGCACAUGGGCUUAGUUGCUCUGCAGCAUUUGGGAUCUUCCCGGACCAGGGCUCAAACCCGUGUCCCCUGAAUUGGCAGGCAGAUUCUUAACCACUACGCCACCAGGGAAGUCCCUGUGUUCUCAUUUUUUUUUUUUGUGGUACGCAGGCCUCUCACUCCCGUGGCCUCUCCCGCUGUGGAGCACAGGCUCCGGACGCGCAGGCCCAGUGGCCAUGGCCCACGGGCCCAGCCACUCCGCGGCAUAUGGGAUCCUCUCGGACUGGGGCACGAACCCGCGUCCCCUGCAUCGGCAGGCGGACUCUCAACCACUGCGCCACCAGGGAAGCCCCCUGUGUUCUCUUUUAAAAGUCAUAUUUUUAACUUACAUUUAGAUUUAGGUCUGUGGUCCAUUUUCAAUUAGAUUUGGGCAUGGUAUAAAUAUUUCUAACACUUUAAAAUUUUUUUCCAGCUUUAUUGAGAUAUAAUUGACAUAUAACAUUGUAUAAGUUGAAAGUAUACAACAUGAUGAUUUGAUAUACAUAUAUAUUGUGAAAUGAUUACUGCAGUAAGGUUGGUUAACACCUCUAGCACCUCACAUAAUUAUCAUUUUCCUUUGUAGUGACAUUUAAGAUGUACUCUCUUAGCAACUUUCAAGUAAUACAAUAUUGGUAACUGUGGUCACCAUGCUGUGCAUUAGAUGCUCAGAACUUACUUGUUGUAUUUCUUAUGCUUUUUAUAAAAGUUUUAUAACUUUAUAUUUUACAUUUAAGUCUGUGAUCCAUUUGAGUUGCUUUUUGUAGGUGUGUCCAGUUGUGUCAGGACCAUUUGUUGAACUCAAAUACAAUUUUUUUUUUUUUGUCAAAUACAAUUUUUAGGUUAAAAUUUAACUGUCUCAUCUGAUAAGAUUAUCUCCCAGUAAAGAAAAUGGAAAGGAAGUUUCUCCUUGGAGAUGAAACACAUAUAUUAUUUUAAAAGUUCUAAAGUCUUCAAGCUAAAAUAAUGAACCACAAUAAAAAAGACUUGGCUUUUCAUAUUUCAAGUCUUUUUGUCUGGAACUUUGUUCAUCCAUGGCUUUAAUUAGGUGGUUUGUGAACAGCUGGUGGACAUAUGGUGAAGUUACACCUCAUUAAUAGAAUAUAAAUUUUCCAUGUGGUUUUGUUGCCUCUUUCUUUGCAGUUAUUUUGCUUUAAGACAAACUUCUGUUAUACAAAAGUCUGGCCUUUUUGUCUUGGGAAAUAUCUGCAGAUACUUUAUAUUUGUUUUAUAUUAUUCAUUGUCUCUUAAGUUUUAUAGUCAUGCAUUAGAUACUUUAUACCUCAUCAGGUUCCUUUAAAAGUUUGUAUCGUUUGGUUGCUCAAUUUGAAAGAUAUAUUUCAAAAAAUGAUUAUGACAGAUAAGAUAAGCUUUUAAAAGUACAACAACCUCCUGUUACCUAGGAUAGCUGAAUAACUGAGAAUUACCAUAUAACUGUAUGGGGGUUAUCACGGUUAGUUAUAAAGUAUAUUUGACGUUAACAAUGUGCAUAGUGCUUUUGCUGUGCUCUUUUUAAAAUAUUUUCUUUAUCGGCAUAUAAUUUUAUAAUUCACAUACCAUAAAAUUUACCCUUUUAAAAUGUAUCAUUUAAUGGUUUUUAGUGUAUCCACAAAGUUGUGCAACCAUCACUAGUAUCUAAUUCCAGAACAUCAUGAUGUUGAUUAUUUGCCAAUCUCAUAUGACUUAUUUUUUUGCUAAUUUUAUAUGCCUAGUUUACUUCAAAAUAGACUUGAGGUGGUUUACAAUAACAGACUUAUUAUAACAGGGUCAGUAUGAUAUAAGAGAUCAAAAACAUUAGUGAGAAGGGAGGAAUAAAUAAACCAAAAACUCAGACUGAAGCUAAUGUAAUGUUGCUGUUAAGCAAAGUAUGUAAACUUAAAACUCCUAACCUGAUAGUGUUUCAUAUUCUAUCAUGGAUCCAGAAUUAUAUUCGUGAAAAGUCACAUCACAAUGCUUUCCUCUUUAAAACUCCCUCUUGAUUCCCACAGUCAAAAGUCAUGUUUGAAGUUAAUAUAUGACACUCAUUCAGGGUCAUGUAUAUUGAAACUGGUGGGUGGGUAGGGGUAUGUAUGUGAGGGGUGUAAAUAUGGUGCAUCUGCUGUGGCAUCAAUUUUACAUAAAAAUUUUAGAGGAAAACCAAUAUUUUAUAUUAAUUUAAAAACAUUGCUUAAUAUAGAAAACGAAUAUGGGGUAGAAUGCAGAAUUUGCAUGAAAUACAGCGUAAGACUUCAAAUAAGCGUUGUUCUUGAUCUCAGUUAUAGGGGGUCUGAUCCUAGGAACCCUUCUACCUUCCUAGUACAUGUUCUCUCUUUGCCACUGGUGUUUCUGCUUUGGAAAUAAUGGUGAAAUUCUGGCUUACCAAACCAAACAAACACAUGCAGAAACAAAACAACCCAAGAAACCCCAAAAUCCUACCCCCAAAUUCUUGGGUUGGUAUAAAAUCCCUUCAUGAUAUGCUAAAUAUCUCACAGAUCUGGGCCAAUAUUCAGUCCUUUCCAGAUUCUUUCUGCCUGGAAUGCCCCCACUGUCAACCCCACAUGACCCUUCCUAUUUCCCCCCAUCCCCACCCCUUCCUCCAUUCCAAGUACCUGUGUAACUUCUGUCCUGGUGUCCCUUGUUGCUAUGUUCUCCAGGUACUUUCUUCCUGCUCUGUUGCUGUAAUUAGCACUAUGUAUUGUCAUGGAGUCUAUGCAGUGUGGUUAAGUUGAAAGAGGUGAUAAUGAAUGUGUGUCUCUGUAACUGUAGACUCCUCAAAGGCGGGGCUCAUCUUUUAUUCAUCUGUAUAUCCUGGUGCAUCAUAUGGGUUCUGACACAUCGUAGAUAUUUACUAAAUGUCUUCUUGAAUUAAUGAAUGAAUUCUGGGUGACAAUGAUUUGUGGAGUACAGAUGAUUCUGUUUUGGGGGGCUUGGUAGAUUUUUUUUUUUUUUUAAAUUUCAGGAUAAAUGGAGUUUUUGUACAUUCAUUCCCUCUUCCAUGCACCAUCGUUAGGCAUCUAGCACACAACAGAGUACUGAAAUUGCUCUUGCCAGGUCAACAAUGACCCAGUUUCCAAAUCUGGUAUACCUUUUCUCCCCCAUUUUAUUUUUCUAGAGCUGUCUGCUGCAUUUGACACUGUUAUAACUUCUCCACUUUUGAAGCUCUUAACUCUUUUCUUUCUGGUGUGUUCUCCCACGUCUCCUGAUGUCAACCAUCACAUCCCCACAGGCUCCUCUUCCUCUGACUGCAUCUUAACUUUCUGUUGGUGUCCUCAGGUUAUGUCUUGGGCUCCCGCCCUUUUGUAUACACAGAGGGGCAUCUCAGCCACUCCCUUUGUUUCUGUUCUCUGACCAUAAUCCCCAGAUUGGGGUCUUGAGUGAGCAUGCUUCUAAUCUUGCCACCUGUCUCCUUGGUAUUGCCACCAGGAUAGCCCAAAGCUUCACAGAUUCUACAUGUGUAAAAUGAAAUUCUCAUUCUUUCCUGCUGAAUUAAUUUUUCUUCUAUAUCCUCCCCCCCUCAUUUGUCGAAACCACCAUCUACUCAGUUACUGAAGCUAGAAACCUAGCUGUUCUCCAAGAUCCUUUGUCCUCAAUUAUCCCCUUCAAGUUACCCAUGAAGACCUCUCAGUUUUAUUACCAGACAUUUUACAAAUUAAUUUCAUUAUUCCAAAACUACCGCCUUCUCUCUCCAGUACUUCUGCAGAGUGGAGAGUGCAUCUGGGGAGUGGAGAAAUUGACAGCCUACAGCCCAGCGACUUCAUUUUUUAUGUCAGGUUAGUAAUAAAGGACUUAUCAGUUACGUGGGCAGUUAUUAAACAUAAAUAUUUGUGCCGUUUUCUGGCCCUGACAUUUCUGGGAUCACUCUGUAUUUUUUUUCCUCACCUCUCCAUGUACUAUUUCUUAAUUUCCUGGCUGGCCUGGACUGCCCUAGAAUUCUCUGGGCUGCCCUAGACCUAGAAAGUCUCGAGUCUUUUCCAGAGUCGCAUGGCAUGUCCAGUAGGGAAUAUUCUCCAGACCUUCUUUCACAUUCAGCAUUACCCUGUAUUUGAGUGGCAGGCAGAGGCCUCUGGUCCAGGAGACCUGCAAUUUCUUUUUUUUAAAAGAUUUAAUCUUAUUUAUUUUUGGCUGCGUUAGGUCUUUGUUGCUGUGCUCGGGCUUUCUCUAGUUGCAGCGAAUGGGGGCUAUUCUUCUUUGCGGUGCACGGGCUUCUCAUUGCGGUGGCUUCUCUUGUUGUGCAGCACGGGCUCUAGGCACGCAGGCUUCAUUAGUUGUGGCAUGCAGGCUCAGUAGCUGUGGCUCGUGGGCUUUAGAGUGCAGGCUCAGUAGUUGUGGCCAUGGGCUUAGUUGCUCUGGGGCAUGUGGGAUCUUCCUGGACCAGGGCUCGAACCCGUGUCCCCUGUAGUGGCAGGCGGAUUCUUAUCCACUGACACCAACAGGGAAGUCCCAACCUGCAAUUUCUAUGUUGUCCCAGAGCCUGGGCUGGAAUUGGAGACAGUUUCAAUUUUUUCUGGGCUGUGCAGGGAACAGGGCUGCUUAGCCGGCCCUCAGUCUGUAGCUCCAUUUCAAGGCUUCACUGCUGAAUCCACCAGAGGAGGGAGCUUACUGCACUUUAAGGAAGGUUGCUUUUUUGUCAUCAUCCUUUCUCUGUCCUUCCCCAUACUUGUCAGAGAGUAAUUUCUUUCCUAAUCAUUCCUGCAAGUGUUUCUAUAUUCCCUCUGUCCCCAUUCCUAAGGAGACAUCCUUGUAAAUAUGUUAUUUUGCACAUUAUUUUUACUCUCCUCCUUCUGUCACAAAGGACUUGAAAUAUUACACAGCUGUAAGUCCUGAGAGAUGUUAAAUUUCACUUGUAGGCAGGAUUAUUAUUUUUUAAAUAGGAGAAUGGGAUCUUGUUUAGAAAGUCAGACGUGUAGCCCCUUCCAUCAGAGAUGAUUAAAAAUUAAAGACAGCCAGCCCAGCAAUCCCACUACUGAGCAUAUACCCUGAGAAGACCAUAAUUCAAAAAGAGUCAUGUACCACAAUGUUCACUGCAGCUCUAUUCACAAUAGCCAGGACAUGGAAGCAACCUAAGUGUCCAUCGACAGAUGAAUGGAUAAAGAAGAUGUGGCACAUAUAUACAAUGGAAUAUUACUCAGCCAUAAAAAGAAAUGAAAUUGAGUUAUUUAUGGUGAGGUGGAUGGACCUAGGGUCUGUCAUACAGAGUGAAGUAAGUCAGAAAGAGAAAAACAAAUACUGUAUGCUAACACAUAUGUAUGGAAUCUAAAAAAAAAUAAGGUUCUGAAGAACCUAAGGGCAGGACAGGAGUAAAGACGCAGACGUAGAGAGUGUAUUUGAGGACAUGGGGAGGGGGAGGGGUGGGCUGGGACGAGGUGAGAGAGUGACACUGACAUAUAUACACUACCAAAUGUAAAAUAGAUAGCUAGUGGGAAGCAGUUGUAUUGCACGGGGAGAUCAGCUUGGUGCUUUGUGACCAUGUAGAGGGGUGGGAUAGGGAGGGUGGGAGGGAGACAUAAGAGGGAGGGGUUAUGGGGAUAUGUUUAUACGUAUAGCUGAUUCACUUUGUUAUAUAGCAGAAGCUAACACACCAUUGUAGAGCAAUUAUACUCCAAUAAAGAUGUUGAAAAAAAAAUUAAAGACAGUACCUUCUUCUGAUGAAUCUGUAUUUACCUAAGUAGAUGUGUUUUUGAUUGUCUAUCACCUAGGGUUAAAAAAAGACAUCAAAGCAGUGACUCUAUUCUUUUCUUCGAAAAGCUUAGGGCUAUGUCCAAAGAUGAGCCCAAACUAUGUGAAAAUCGGCAAUUCAAAUGCCGUUUUUUAAAAAAAAAAAAGAAAUAAAUUACCUCUGCCAGUGGAUUCCAUGGCUGCUUGGCAGGGGUAAUUUGCUGCAGUCCAGUGCUUUCCAAGUUGAGGUUAAUUAUUCCUUGUAGGAAGUUAGAUAUUCCUGGAAAAGGUACAUUAUCUUUGAGAAAAAUAACUUAUUAAAAUAUUGAGAGCAUUUGUUGAACAUUUAAUAUAGAGCUUUUUUAAAACCUUUUUUUAUUGAAGUAUAGUUGAUUUACACUACUGUGUUGGUUUCAGGUGUGCAGCCUACUGAUUCAGUUAUUUUUUUCUGAUUAUAUUCCAUUAUAGGUAUUAUAAGAUAUUGAGUAUAAUUCCCUGUGCUAUACAGUAAAUCCUUGUUGCUUGUCUGUUUUAUAAGUUUGUUUCCUAUGUCUGUGAAUCAGUUUCUGUUUUGUAUAUAAAUUCAUUUGUAGUAUAUUUUAGAUUCCACGUGUAAGUGAUAUCAUAUGUAUUUGACUUUCUCUGUCUGAUUUACUUCACUAAGCAUAAUAUUCUCUAAGUCCAUAACAUGAAGCUUUGAUGGGGGAGGAAAAGAGAUAAAUUUUAGAGAACAGGACGUUUUAUAAAGCAGAUAUCUUGGGUAAAGCGUUUAGGAGGACAUCAAUUAGCUAGAGGGAAAGAUCAGAUAUUCGGGGAAUGGAGAGAGAGGAAGCCAGGAAAGGGGCAGGAGGGUGGGAAGGACAUUCUACCAUUAUUCCUUAGAGUGAGGCUUGCUGGAGCCUGUAUUCUCUGAGCCAAGACCUUCUGUUCUCUUACAAAUAUAAGCCCUGGUUUUGCUCUUCAUAGAAAGCAAUGAGUUCAUUGUUGUUUUUGACAUCAUGUCGAUCCCCCCCCGCCGCCCCCUCCAAGGGAUGGAUAAUUAGAACUCUCUGACGAAGAAAAGGUCCUAUAAUCUGUUUUAUAGAUAAUUAUUUUCUGAACCAUCAAGUGAAAUUCAGCUUUAAUCUUCAGGGCAAGUAGAUAAUCAUUUUCUGAACCAUCAAGUGAGAUUCAGCUUUAAUCUUCAGAGCAAAUGACGAUUAGUUAGGAUGUAUUAAACUCUGUGAGUUUAAUGUUCAUGACAAGUGUUUCAUAAAGGAAGAUGCUGUCUGUUAUCGCUCCUCAGAAGGAAAUUGUUGAUAAGAAACCAUUUUGAGAAGUAAGAUUUAUGGCAACAUCAGAAGCUAGAGAAGCUGGGGCAUCUGAGCAUCCAGGACAAUCAAGGGCAAAUGGGACAACUAAAUUUUUCUUGUGCAGUCUACUGUCUUACCAAAAAAAAAAAAAAAAAAAUCACGUAUUUGUAUAGUCUCCUUCCGCAAAGCAAUUAAGGAAAGUAUUUACUCUUUAAAAGCCUACUCUAUUUUAAUGAAGCAUGUUAAUUCCUGAAGUUAAUUCCUGAAGGAGAUAGACAAGGGAUACCAGUGGGAGAGCUUCCCUCAAUUGUUAUCUUAUUAUUUUU